rnacentral:rRNA from 1 species
AGUAACACGUAUGCAAUCCACCUGUAACAGGGGGAUAACCCGGAGAAAUCCGGACUAAUACCCCAUAAUAUGGGCGCUCCGCAUGGAGAGCCCAUUAAAGAGAGCAAUUUUGGUUACAGACGAGCAUGCGCUCCAUUAGCCAGUUGGCGGGGUAACGGCCCACCAAAGCGACGAUCAGUAGCCGGACUGAGAGGUUGACCGGCCACAUUGGGACUGAGACACGGCCCAG